AUUGAACGCUGGCGGCAUGCCUUACACAUGCAAGUCGAACGGUAACGCGGGGCAACCUGGCGACGAGUGGCGAACGGGUGAGUAAUAUAUCGGAACGUGCCCAGUAGUGGGGGAUAGCCCGGCGAAAGCCGGAUUAAUACCGCAUACGACCUACGGGUGAAAGCGGGGGAUCGCAAGACCUCGCGCUAUUGGAGCGGCCGAUAUCAGAUUAGGUAGUUGGUGGGGGUAAAGGCCUACCAAGCCUACGAUCUGUAGCUGGUCUGAGAGGACGACCAGCCACACUGGGACUGAGACACGGCCCAGACUCCUACGGGAGGCAGCAGUGGGGAAUUUUUGGACAAUGGGCGCAAGCCUGAUCCAGCCAUGCCGCGUGCGGGAAGAAGGCCUUC
rnacentral:rRNA from 1 species